GCCCACAGACCCGCCCUGGCAGCCUGGCCCACCCCAAAUCAUGUGUGUGUGUUGGGGGUGUGGGGGCUAGUGGGGCAGAGGAUAAGCAGGCUAGAAGAGCCCACUCCUACCACUGCGAUCCAGGAGGUGCCUGCAACAGUUGCCUUCCCCCCCCCACUUCUACCGCCCCCAUGGAGAUGAAAACACUGAGGUUCAGAGACGUGAGCAGUAGCUUUCUCAAGGGCCCAGAGCCAAGAAGCGUUGAAGCUUAAAAGCACGCCGUAGCAGGGAAGAUCAAGCAAGUUCUGUGCCUAUCUGCAGGUGAGCUGUUGGGUGUCACCAUUGGGAGAAAGUGGUGCCCGUGGGCAGUGGCAGUGGGGACGGUGGGUCGGGGCCUUGGCCUGGAGCUACAAGAAGUCACCGGCCUAUAGCGUGCGCCCGAGGCGGCUCCGGCGGAGGGGAGCACCAGGUCUCCCAGCUGCCAGCUGGCUCUUCGCGCUGCGUCG
rnacentral:lncRNA from 1 species